rnacentral:rRNA from 1 species
CUGCGAGUGAAGCGGGAAAAGCUCAAAUUUAAAAUCUGGCGGUCUCUGGCCGUCCGAGUUGUAAUCUAGAGAAGUAAUGCCCGCGCUGGACCGUGUACAAGUCUCCUGGGAUGGAGCGUCAUAGAGGGUGAGAAUCCCGUCUCUGACACGGACUACCAGGGCUUUGUGGUAUGCUCUCAAAGAGUCGAGUUGUUUGGGAAUGCAGCUCAAAAUGGGUGGUAAAUUCCAUCUAAAGCUAAAUAUUGGCGAGAGACCGAUAGCGAACAAGUACCGUGAGGGAAAGAUGAAAAGAACUUUGGAAAGAGAGUUAAACAGUACGUGAAAUUGCUGAAAGGGAAACGCUUGAAGUCAGUCGCGUUGGCCAGGGAUCAGCCUCACUCUUGUGUGGUGUACUUUCUGGUUGACGGGUCAGCAUCAAUUUUGACCGCUGGAAAAAGGCCUGGGGAAUGUGGCAGCUUCGGCUGUGUUAUAGCCCCUAGUCACAUAUAGCGGUUGGGAUUGAGGAACUCAGCACGCCGCAAGGCCGGGUUUCGACCACGUUCGUGCUUAGGAUGCUGGCAUAAUGGCUUUAAGCGACCCGUCUUGAAACACGGACCAAGGAGUCUAACAUGCCUGCGAGUAUUUGGGUGGAAAACCCGAGUGCGUAAUGAAAGUGAAAGUUGAGAUCCCUGUCGUGGGGAGCAUCGACGCCCGGACCAGAACUUUUGGGACGGAUCCGCGGUAGAGCAUGUAUGUUGGGACCCGAAAGAUGGUGAACUAUGCCUGAAUAGGGUGAAGCCAGAGGAAACUCUGGUGGAGGCUCGUAGCGAUUCUGACGUGCAAAUCGAUCGUC